UUUAAUGAGCUCCUGCUCAGCAACUUCUACCUGUUGAACACUAGAAUCCUCGGCCACUAGCUCUUCUACUCGUCACAAUACAAACAAACAUGGUACAAGGGAGAAAUUAACAUCACACCAAACAUGUAUACAAAAUACAUAAUAAUAAUCUACGCAUCGUAACAAGAUCAUAGGAAAAAAGAACCACUAAAUUCGAAGUUACGGAUUUCAAGAUAUGAUUUUACGAAGGUUUCAUGUAUUUGGUACAAGAUUAAUUAAGUGAUCAAAUUUAAUAUGAGUUUCCUACUAAAACAGAGACACUAGGUGAUAAACAAUAUUAAAACAAAAUUAUAGAAACUGGAAUGGACCAAUUUGGACUUAAUAUGAAUUUUCUAGGAAUUAAACAAGUUUCAGCAAAUAUUUUUACACUAAAAAUCAAUUUCUAAAUCAAUUUCUCAGUUAUAUUAAAUAUCUGGACUGCGCGCACAAUUAAACCAAAGUCCAGGGGUUGUUACCGAAAAAUUCCUAAGACUCGGAGCACUCUGCGCUGGACUGCUAGUUUAUUUUCUAAAAUUCCACGGUCUCUUUAAUAAAAAAGGCGCCGCGAAGAAGUAUAAGCCGAUCUCGACCGCCCGAUUAAACAACAAGCGCCCGGAUCAGAUCUCACUUAAAAUGAACCGAUAUUCUACAGGAGCCAAUGGAUCUGAAUCCAAUGGCCCACAGUCGAUCUGUUCCAUGGGUUGGAUCGUAGGGCCUGAUCCAUCCGUCUGUCCCCAGAUCGAUGGUCCUGAUUCAAUGAAACCCAUUCACCGCCCCAAAUCUAAUCCCGGUCGCCCAUCCAGGAUCCAACGUCCCAAGGACCAUCAUCAACCUCCCGCCGAUAACACGCCGGUAAGCUCUGGCCGUGAUGCCCCCGACGGCGGACAGUGAUCCGCCACCCCGGCUACUAGAUCAAGUUCUUAUUUUUUUAACGACUUCUACACCGAGAUAAUAUUGCGGCAAACUCACGGCAAGGAAUAGAAAAAAAACAACAUCUCACCGAGGUGAUAGAAGACGAUCGACAAUGGCGUCGGUGUUACGGUGUAUCCCUCGUGUUGGAUAGAUCCCUAGCAGCCCCACUGUCCACACGCCACAUCGAGCGGUCAACAGUUGCGACCACUGGUGUUCAUCCUCGGUACACGGCCGGGACACCACGACCUCGGGAAUGUACCGCGACGGUG
rnacentral:lncRNA from 1 species